rnacentral:rRNA from 1 species
GAUGAACGCUGGCGGCGUGCCUAACACAUGCAAGUCGAGCGGAUAAACGGAGCUUGCUCUUCGCUUCAGUGGCGGACGGGUGAGUAAUGCCUACGAAACUAACCCGUAGCUCUGGAUUACGUACCGUCACGGGCGCUGAUCCCGCACCCGUCCAUAUGGAGAAACGGGGGGUUCUUUGGACAACGUGCCAGUAGAUGAUCCUCGUACGGAUUAGCUAGUUGGUGGGGUUAAGGCCUACCAAGGCGACGAUCCGUAGCUGACCUGAGAGGAUGAUCAGACACACUGGAACUGAGACACGGUCCAGACUCCUACGGGAGGCAGCAGUAGGGAAUGUUCGGCAAUGGGCGAAAGCCUGACGCAGCAAUGCCGCGUGUGUGAAGAAGGUCUUCGGAUUGUAAAGCACUCUUAGUUGGGAGGAACCACAGUAAGAUUAGAUAUUGCUAUAUUGACGGUACCUACAGAAAAAGCGCCGGCUAACUACGUG